UAAGGAAUAUUGGUCAAUGGACGCAAGUCUGAACCAGCCAUGCCGCGUGGAGGAUGAAGGUCCUCUGGAUUGUAAACUUCUUUUAUCUGGGACGAAAACGGGAUUUUUAUCUCAAUUGACGGUACCAGAGGAAUAAGCACCGGCUAACUCCGUGCCAGCAGCCGCGGUAAUACGGAGGGUGCGAGCGUUAUCCGGAUUUACUGGGUUUAAAGGGUGCGUAGGUGGGCUUAUAAGUCAGUGGUGAAAUCUCCGAGCUUAACUUGGAAACUGCCGUUGAUACUAUAGGUCUUGAAUUAUCUGGAGGUAAGCGGAAUAUGUCAUGUAGCGGUGAAAUGCUUAGAUAUGACAUAGAACACCAAUUGCGAAGGCAGCUUACUACAUAUAAAUUGACGCUGAGGCACGAAAGCGUGGGGAUCAAAC
rnacentral:rRNA from 1 species